ACGAACCGUACGAACGUUAUUCGGAAUUACUGGGCUUAAAGGGUUUGUAGGCGGCCUUGUAAGUCAGGUGUGAAAGCCCUCGGCUCAACCGAGGAACAGCGCUUGAUACUGCAAGGCUUGAGGGAGACAGGGGUAAGCGGAACUGAUGGUGGAGCGGUGAAAUGCGUUGAUAUCAUCAGGAACACCGGUGGCGAAAGCGGCUUACUGGGUCUCUUCUGACGCUGAGGAACGAAAGCUAGGGUAGCGAACGGGAUUAGAUACCCCGGUAGUCCUAGCUGUAAACGAUGAGCACUUAUCUGGGGAUCCUCCCAUAGGUUCCCGGAUGUAGCGAAAGUGUUAAGUGCUCCGCCUGGGGAGUAUGGUCGCAAGGCUG
rnacentral:rRNA from 1 species